rnacentral:rRNA from 1 species
AGCGAACGCUGGCGGCAGGCUUAACACAUGCAAGUCGAGCGGGCAUCCUUGUGGUGUCAGCGGCAGACGGGUGAGUAACGCGUGGGAACGUGCCCUUCGGUUCGGAAUAACUCAGGGAAACUUGAGCUAAUACCGGAUACGUGCGAGAGCAGAAAGGUUUAUCUGCCGAAGGAUCGGCCCGCGUCUGAUUAGCUAGUUGGUGAGGUUAUGGCUCACCAAGGCGACGAUCAGUAGCUGGUCUGAGAGGAUGAUCAGCCACGCUGGGACUGAGACACGGCCCAGACUCCUACGGGAGGCAGCAGUGGGGAAUAUUGGACAAUGGGGGCAACCCUGAUCCAGCCAUGCCGCGUGAGUGAUGACGGCCUUAGGGUUGUAAAGCUCUUUUCUCCGGGACGAUAAUGACGGUACCGGAGGAAUAAGCCCCGGCUAACUUCGUG